rnacentral:lncRNA from 1 species
UUUUUUUUUUUUCUCCAAAUUUUCAUUCAUACCUUUCUGUUUGUUGAUAUUCAACCAUUUUUCAUAUUCAUAUUGCUUUCAUUAGUAAAACAAAUUAAUUUUGAAAGAAAAUUGGAUCGUAAACGUACUAAAAUGAAUCAACAUAUAUACAAAUAAACAUAUAUAUUAGUCAAGUAGUAGACUAUGGCAUUUUGUUAUAUAUUUUGUUAGCAUCCUGCUUUUGGGUGACAUUCAAUGCGUAGUAGGAACUUAAAUUUCUCAAUGCUUUAAGCUACUUAUGCUUCUUAUUUAAACUAUAUACAUGUUGUGUGACGCACAUGCAAAGUAGUAUACUCAAACUUAGCUUUAUUUAUUAAACAACAUUUUACCCCAAGAAAAUGGGGUCUUUUGAUGUUGCGAUGGACGUCGACAAACAAAACGUCGAGAAACUAGACUAAUAUUGACUCAGGUAACGUGACGUCGGCUUAGUCAUGCAAGGCUGACGUCGUAAUCCAACACGUCAGACUCCAUCUACCAUUUUCUAAUUUAUCAUUAGAUUUUUUCCAACGCAAUGAAGAAGCACGUCGGGGAUGGUUGAAUAUAUUAUUUUUAUUGGUGAGCAUCCCCGACGCAAUGGAGAAGCACAUCGGAGAAGGUUGACAUAAUUAUAAGAUUAAUUGACAUAAAUAUCACCAUACAUUAUAUUAAUUUCCAAAGUAAAUUUGAACAUUUCAAAGUACAAUUCAAUAUAAAUAAAUCUCAUUACCAUUUACGAGCUAAGAACGAGACCUAAUGGACCUACAAAUCAGAUGCUACAACAAUAUGAGAUUAAUUGACUAAUCUCAUUAACCACAUUAAUCAAUAUUUGUUAAUUGUGUACACUCCACUAAAGGCUCACAACUGAGUUCUUCUCACUAUAGAUAUAUUUCUGUGUCCACGGAUAUAGACCAAUAACAGCAAGUUAGUCAUUCACAAGUGUUCGUAACACCAACUGAGUCAAACUAUCAUUUUACCCUUUGGGUUACUUCUAGUCCUUAAAUACGAGUGCCUCUCUAAUGAACAACUUGUUUAUGGUCCAACCACUAAAUAGAAACCCUUCUCGUGCUAUAGAAAGAGUAGAACCCUUUGUUCAAGUCUUGAAAACAUCAUUUAAGGGAAGACUCAUCUACUUACCCUAAACUCGGGAAUGAAUGAAUUCCAUCUUGUGUGAUUAUGUUUCCAGGUCUCUACUUGGUCUUGUCCCCAAAAUGAUGAGCAUAUUGAGUCGACAAUCUGACCAUUUUCACCCGUACAAAUCAAAGGACAAUCCCUCACAAACAGGAGUUCAUAAUACACUCAGGAUUAAGAUUAAGUUACCUAUAUCAUCCUAAUUAAACAGAAACUCAACUAGUUAAUGAAGUUACAUCUAGUGGUUACUAUUUUGUGGCUCGAUCUUAUGUAAACUCAUUUCAAAGGAUACAUUCACUCACAUGUCACCUACACAAAUGCGUUGGAUCAUGUGUUUGUAUCAAAUAUAAAGUGAGAUGUAUCCAUAGUGUUACCAAGAUAAAUUGUCCAACCUUAUCCCUAUAGUAUAGACCAUUUAAAUUGUAUCUCGGACAUUGAUCUCUGUAUGUCUCUACAUACUAUUCAAGACUCAUCAAACAGUCUAGGAUGUUAGUUUAUUGGAUUUAGGUUAUUAAAACAAAACUAAUAAUAUAAUCUAUAACAUUUAUUGAAAUAAUAAUACUUUACGACUCACUGUCAAUGAAUUAUAUUUACUAUCUACGAGUUUUAGAACAUAAAACCCAAUAUUACUUAAUUAAGAUAUUGUUAAUGUUAAGUUUGCAUGGUAAUAAUUAAUGGUUCAAAGUUUUUAAAUCAUGUUUUAUUCACACAACAAGUUUAAGGAUGCGUGCAUGGCGACGCGUGACAAAAAGUCUAGUGAGUGACAAAUUUUAGAAAUACAUUUUGGGAAACCAAGCUUUGAAAUCCCUUUCUUUCUUAGGCACUCAUGUGGUAACAAGCCCUAUGAACCAAACAAACAUCAAAUUAUUAGUUAAAUUGUAUUUAAUAAUUUGAUGUAAUUUAAUUUAAUUAAUUAUUUUUCAGUUUUAUUUUUUUAAAUAAGAUUUAAUAUGAUUAAUCUAGUCUUUUUUUUCAUAAUGCAUUCGGGUUUAUUGGGAGACUAUUUAAGCCGCGUUUACGUUGUUUGUGAAUUUUUUUGAAUAAUUGAAGUUUGAGGGCUUUUUUAUCGAUAGAAAUCCUCUAGCAUAUGAGAAAGUCCCAUCCCUAGCUUUUUGCACCGUGCAAAGGACAUUAAACUAAAUUUGAUCGCCUUACUUGUAACGUGGAGCUAAUUCUCCUUAUUUCUUGGUCUUUGAUCAAAAGGUAAUCUAAUUCUAGUCAUUUCCGUUGAAUAGUGUUGUAUUAAGGAUUCACCAAUUGGAUUCAUAAUUUUUAAAUCCCUAAAUUUUCAUAUCAUUUGGUAUCAUAGCCCAUAAAUUAAAAGCGCUUUUUCUCAUACCUCAGUGGAACUUAACAAGGCUCACAUACAAAUAUUUGGAGAAGGAAUAAAGGGUGAACAACAUGGACUAAAGUAACUAAUUAUAUUAUGUAUCUACUUAUAUAGGUGUUAAAUAGCAUGGAGUAAAGUAACUAAUUAUAUGAAAAUUUAAAGAUUAAAAUAGAAUCUGAUUCAAAAAUAAAGUUUAAACCAUAAAUUUAUUCGUUGAGUGAGAUAAUAGCACAUAUUCUCUUGUUUUUCUCAUAAGCAUUUAUGCUUCUUGUGUUGAAGUAAAUACCCUUAUAUAAUGAACAAACAAUUGUGAUGUUUAUAUAUAAAUUUGAAGGACUAUUAAGUUAUUCCUUGAGUCUUAUUUUUAAUUCAUAAAGUUCUCUAACAGUUCGCCAUCUUAUCAACUUUUUUACUCAUUAUUUGGCCUCAAACUAAAGCAUAUAAGAAUAAUCAUUAUAUAUAAACCAACCUUGUUAUGACUUUUGGAUGAUGUAAACCAAAUUCAUUCUUGGGAAUGUUAUUACAAGAGAACUAAUUAUUAAAAGUAGGAAUUAAAAAAUUCGUUCCAAUCAAUCCAAUUUAUGCUCAAGUUUUCGAUCACUUUGAAUUUUGUUAGAGAAAUUAGAACAAAUAGCAUAUUUUUAGUUUUGGUUUUGAAUAAUAGCGACAAAAUUAAAAACAAUAUUGAUCAUUUCUUAACAUACCAAGAAUGUUUAUGAAUAUAUAAAUACGUACACACACCAAAAGAUGGACAAUUUUGAGAGAAGAGUUAUUGGCUAAAGUAUUGACGAAAUCCAUGACAGACAAGAGAGAUAUUAUAGAGAUUGCUCAAUACCCUUUUAUAUAUAUAUAUACACUAAAAGUUAUGCUUUAAUUUACAAGGAUUCUUUUUAGUCUGCAGCUUGUGAUGCUCUAGUUUGGUAAGGUAUGUUGGUGAAUUGAAUUUUUGGACAUGAUGUUCAACAAUUAUGGUUGUUGAAAUUUGUGUAGUUAUUAGAGAAAGUUAAGUCAAUAUACUGUUCUCUACCUUGAGUUAAAAAAUUAGUCUUGGUAAAUUUAAUGAAGAGAGAGUAUGAGGUAGCUAUUUUUGCGUGACGUUUUUUAUUAUCGAAGGUAGAAACCAUUUUGUUAUAGGUUGAAUUAAGAAAAAAUAUCACUUUAUGAUUACUACAAAGUUUAUGAUUGUCCAAGUAUAAAAAAGAGGAGGGCGAAGAUCUUAAAGUUCUCGUAGUGAAUGCCAAAGAACAAUUUGACUCGUGAAAGAGGUAGUAAUGCCUCACUAAGUGCACUCAUACAAUACAAUUAAACUAAAUGUUUCCUUUAACCUUUGCUGACAUACAGACAAGUGUUUGUGUAAAAAUUCAAGAAUAUGAAUGAGGAAACAUGAUUGCUUGAAAUAGAGGCAUGCCAGUAUGAUCUUAUUCAUCUUGACCACAAUUAUAUCGGAUAUGAACUUAAGCUUCAACGUGGGUUGGGUCCAAAACUCCAUCAAUGUUGAAGUUAUGUUUUUGCAAUAAAUGUGGAUCUUAGGAAACAUGUCACCAGAAUCACACAUCAACAAAUGUAUUGCUCAAUAUCUUUUCAAUAUCUCUCCUCACGUAGAAUUAUUCAAUAUGAGAGAUUUAAAAAUCUAGUUUGUCUAUCAAUAUUAGUUUGUGGGACAUUUCAUUUAAAUACAUAUCACAUCGCAUUUAGGGUAGGUCGAGGGCUUGAGCCCCCUCUCGAUCAAUAAUUUUUUUGAAUCUCCCUUUAAAUUUUGAGGAAAAUUGAUAAAAUAUUUACACGUAACAUCAUGUAGUUUUUGUCGUGAAGUAUAUUAAAUACUUGAUUACACUUUUGUGGCCACCUUGAUCUCAAGUGAUACAAAUUAUGAUCGAAAAUAUUUAAAAAUUUAGCCUAAUUAAAAAAUGUCAUGAUCUUUAAAUAUAUUACAUUAGUAGAUUUUGUUUUUUUGUAAAAAAUGGAGACAAAAGUUAACUUUUAUCACAAUAUCUUUUUUUUAAAAUAUAAGUUAUCGGUAAAAAAAAAAGAAGCAUACAUAGUCAUGUAUACAAUUUUUGUGACAUGUUUGUGCCCGUUUCACGUUAAUGUAUCUAAAAGGAAGUAUAAUAAAAUUUGAACCAUAGUGAAAGCAAUGUACCAUAAAAACGAAAUUCUACAAAAAUUACCAACCAAAUUGAAGAAGAAGAUUGGCAAAUGGAAGGGAUUGUGAGAAAAUAUUGCUUGAAUAUUUUUUUUUUCAAAAUGACAUUUGAGCCUAACUUCCUUUUGAAAUACUUCUUUUUAGAAUUCAUGAAAAAAUGGUAGGUUUAGGCUAUUAGUGUAGUUGGGCCUAUUAAGAUAGGCUAAUGUGACCAUUUUUAAAUUUCACAUGAAGAAGAUGUAAAAUUGUUACACUACACAAAAAUUUAUGAUUUCAAUUAAUAUGAGAUAUUUGCAUUGAAAUUAUCAUGUUCUUCUAUGCAAUCUAAAAAGGUUACAGGGAGGAACAUUUUAUUUUCCCUUUUGCCAUCUUUUAGUGUUUGGCUAUUGAGUUCUAACCUAAUUUUACAUUCAAAUUAUUAAAUAAAAACUAUCCUACUUGAACUCCAUGUAAUUAUUUUGUUUUUUUUUUUAAAAAAAAUCUCCUGUUGUCUAAAAGAAAAAUUAAAGAAAACUCCUAUUUAAUUUUCACGUUGAUUUUUAAAAACCGAUAUUGGCCAUAACACUAACUAAUUCAAACGAUUUGAUUCAAAAUAAAUUACUUUUUUUUCUUCUAUUUUAAGAUAUUUAUUAUUAUUUAAUUUUCACGUUAGAUUAUCUCUUUUUAUGUCUAUAUAUAAGGCCGUCCUUUUUCAAUCUUUCAAUACUCAAAUUUUCCUCUCCAUUAUUCUCUUUUCCUUCUAAAAACUUCCUCCUUGGUUGUCGGUGAUGGACGAUAUUGUUUUGUUUGGCAGGAUUGUGGCAGCUUGAUGGAUUUGUUUAAAUGGCUCGCUACGAUGAUCGUGGUAUGCUGCGAGUUCGAAGAAUGCUCAUUUUUUGAAGUUGCUAGAGGCAGAUGGGUCGUGGUGUUGGCCUUGUGUUUCAUCACAGCUGCUGGAAAUAGAGCGGGAUGUUCAUGGUGUUUGUUCACGUAGUGGGGUAGGAAGAUAUAGUUGGGUUUGGGAACCAAGGGUCCGGUGAGUUUUCUUUGAAGAAUGUGUAGGAAGAUUUGUUUUCUAGGCAUCCUAGAGUUUGUUGGACAAGUCUUUUCUGGUUUCGGGGCAAUAUUUGUCAUCACUCAUUGAGAUCAUUUGUUCUUUAACUGUGAGUUUAGCCAUCGCUAGGUGUAGGGUGAGAUUAUGGGUUUGAUGGGUGCUUCUCAUAGGGGGUUGAGUUGCAUUUGAUUUGUCAAAUUGGGUUGUUGUGACACACGUCGUUGUCUUGUAAUGCUUUUAUGAUUGUGCGACUUCUUGUUUCUCUUGUUCGUCCUCCUGCUGCUUGAUGGCUUAAGGAUGUUACUAAUUUGUUUUUGUGGGUUUGUUUUUUUGACUUGUUCCCUUUUCUUGUUUUGUUUUCUUCUCUUUGUUUUAUGUCUUUCUUGAGACCACAGCGCUUAAAAAAACUAAACAACUUUAUUACUUCGAUAACCAAAUUAGUACAAUUAUAAGAAAAAUACUUAAAAAGCUCCAGCUGCUAAACUUAAACUCUAAUGCCUUGCCCAGCUCUUAAUGCAUGACACAAAGUAGCGGCUCACACCUUCUCUACGUAACCUCCUCGCUUCGCUUAGCUAGGGAAGAGAAAACUUAAAACGUAAGUCUAACGCUUAGUGAGUGAGAUUUUAGGAAAAACCUUUAAGGAAUACAAGUACACAUGCUAAACGUUUAUUGAGUUGUUGAGAGAAGGUUUUGGAAUAUUGAAAAGCCGGUUGAGGAAAAUCACUAGGCAAGUAGAGGAAGCUGGGAGCAAAGGAAGGAAGAGCUUAGAUUAAGUGUUGUUGUGAGUGAUCCUUAUAAACAAAUGUUUGUUUGUCAAUGAUUUCACAUCUUUUUAUAUGAAUGUAUGUUGUUUAUCACAAAAACGUUGUAAUUAUGAUAUUUUCAGACGAAGAAAGUAUUUUAUGAAUGUUGUAUGCAAACUUUUUUUUUUUUUUUUGUAAUCCUUUAGUUGAUGCUUAUUGUAUCAUAUAUUAGUAUUAGGUGUUGAAUGUGAUCUGUUGAGCUAAUGUCUUUUAUUUGAUGUUCGUGUUGUUUGGAUAACGAGUAUAGUGAUUGAUCUAUCGCAAGAUGCUGAUGAAAAUCUCACAUCUAUCGCGAGAUGCUAGUGAAGUGAAUCUUAGGUCCAGGCGAUGAGAUGCUGGUGAAUGUGAAUCCUAGAUUUAGGCAAGGAAUGAAAUAUAAGAUGCUGGUAAAAGCAAAUCUUAGGUCUAUUGCGUGGCACUGGUGCAAUGAAUCCCAAGUCUGAGAUAAAAUUGAAUGUUAUGAGACUUUGAUAGAAAUUCCAAGUCUAUCAUAAGACACCGGUGGAAAACCCAAGUUUAACGUGUGACGCUAGUGAAUUGAAUCCCAGGUCUAGGCAGUUAAAUGUUGGUGAAGUGAAUUCCAAGUCUAGGCGAUUAGAUAUGGAUGGGAGAAUCUUAGGUUUUAGCAGUGAUUGGUGAAUGUUUGUUGAACUGAAAUCCGUAGAACUCUUACGCUCGUUGUGUUGUAAUUUGUAUUGAGAACUUCAAUUGAUACUAGUGAAGUGAAUCCCAAGUCUAAGCGAUUAGAUGUAGAUGGGAGAAUCCCAAGUCCCGGAGGUGAAUGGUGAAUGUUUGUUGAACUGAAUGCGUAAAAUUGUUACACUCGUUGUGUUGUAAUUUGUAUUGAGAACUUGAGUUGAUGAGGUGAAAUAUUUGUGUUCAUGUGAUUAAGUUGUUAUUAUUGAAACUAUUGUAUUCCCCAAAAAGGUAUUUCCUAAAUCCAUCGUUUAAUAAGUCUUUGACUUACGUUUUAAGUUUUUCUUUCCUAGGUUGUCAAGUGUUGAAGCUAAACAAAGCAUGGUUGAGGUUUAAACCCUUCUUAGGCUGGGUUAUUAUGUAAACUUGUGUGCCAAACAAGCCGUGUCAUUCCAUCUUGUGUUCAAGGAUUCGUGGAUAAGAACUUCGAUCCUUAAUGCAAGGGGCUAUAACUCAUUUCAAAGAAAGGUCAUCUGACGCAUCACGGUUGGUGAGGCCAAAGAUGAUGAGUGUUAAAGUACUAAGCUAGGGAAAGGAAGUCCUGAAGGUUGUCCCUAAAAUGGUUGUUGGGCAACCGAGAAGAAGGAUGAAAAUAGGGUCCUUACACCUCUAGAUACCAGAUGAAAGAAGGCAUGUGGAUCAAAAGAUAGGUUUUAUUUAUAUGUCUUACGAGGAAAUGAACGUAACUGUUAAGUGUGAACUUUGUGUAAAUGUUAAGUUAAAUAAAAGAAGAAGUUAUGUUUAUUAUGCUGCUUAUCAAUUGUACUUAUUGCUUAGUAAAUGAAUUUGUGUUAUGGCAAAAGUACUACGCGAUGGAAUAAGUCUUACGGUUGCAAAUUUUUCGCUGCGAUGAGUAAGCCUCUAAGGUUCAGGUGAAGCUUUGCGACGAGACAAGUUGAAGUGAGUUGUUUCACUUACUAGGUGUUCAUCGCGUCAUCUUGCGGUGAGAUACACGAAGGGUAUCUAGGCGACACACCUCCAUCUGGUCGCAGGAAGUGGCAUUUGGGGCGGACCGAGGCGUUGCAGAUGUCAACCUAGUUGAGAUGCUUGGGUGCACCUACUAUUCCUACACCAUGGUUGUUUAUUGUAUUUUGUUCAAUCUUUUCAUUAUAUCAAUGAAAAAUUCUUUUCUGUUUAAAAAAAUGAAGACACUAAUUGUGUUGAAGACCAUUCUUGAAUUUUCGAAAAAAGAAACAAUAAAGCUAAAAGAUGAUGUGAAGGAAAGAGGAGUAAUAUUUCUUAAUGAUAGCGGGGAGACUGACAAUUUCAUUCAUCACGAGAUAACAGAUGAAUUGGCAUUACCAAUCACAGAAGAAACAAGGUUUGGAGUAACCAUCUGAGACAAAAUAAUAGUCAACAAACAUGGUAUUUGCAAGAGGGUGAAAGUGAGGCCACGAGAGUUAACAAUGAAGUCAAUUUCAUAGCAAUUGAUUCAUGUUAAAUGAAUGUGAUUUUAGGAAUGCAAUGGUUGUGGGAUGAGGAGGACCAAGGUGUUUUGAUAGAAUUUCAAAUUUUAGAAACUAAGGAGGGAGAUGAUUGGAAGAUUGACAAAGUGGAGAAGGGAGAUGGGAGAUGAAGAAGGGAUCCCAAUGAUUCAAGCCUUACUUUUUUGUUUGAUCCCAAUGAUUUAAUAAAAGUUUUUCGAUAUCUGUUGAAGCCAAUAUCAUAGUUUCCAUCCUAGGCUUAAGUUCUUGGAUCUUCAGUUACGACCUCUUUCAGCCCUAAAAUCCCCUAUCAACUAUAGCUAGUGCUAAAAAAAACACAUUCACAUGGCCUAGAAGUAAGCACCCUUUUUUCUCAUAAAGCCAUAUAAUUCAUGCUUAGAAAAAAAAAAUAACCAAACGUAGUCAUAAACACAUUUAAAUAAAAUCACUUAUAAUCUUUAACCAUUAAAACAUGUGCUUUAUGAACAAUAUUUCAAUCCUUACUCAUAUAAAUCAUGCUCGAGCAAAUUCAAGGUUCAAUCACAUUAUCAUAAAUCCAAACUGAACGAAAUUUAUGGACACCAGAAACCACAAUCAUGCCAAUAUUGUAAAAGUUGCAUGUUUAACAAUGAAGAGAAACUUCAUUACGGUAUUGCUCAAAUAAGCGGAUCAUGUCAGAGUUUUAAUCACAAAUCAUACAUAAUAGUAUGUACUUAAAAAUAAACCACUCAUAGUCUCGAAAUAUUUAUCCAAGCAAAAUCGAACUUGUUCAAGUAAUCUUUGAAAUCCUAAAUCAAACUCAAGUAAAUAGUUUGUUCCAAACUAAACCAAACUUUGGUCAAUGAUCCAAAUUUACACAUGAAGGAUGGUUACGAAUUUAAAACCAAGGUUCCAUCAUUGAAAAUUAAACGAAAAAGGGAUUCAAAAUCUUGAUGCUUAUAAAAAUUUAGGAAAUGGCAUUUACUCCCCUUGGACAACAUUUCGAACAUCUUCGAAAAAUCAAAUCUACCUUUACACACUAAGUUUAACAAAAUGGAGAGUUUGCAAAAAUAGUAAAAAAAAUUUAUGAUAAUAGACUCUAUGUCACUUACAUUUUUAAAAUUGCAAAAAUAGCAAAUUUUAAAGCAGAUCAUAAUCAGAUUACUGUCUGAUUACCGUCAUAUCUUUCAAAUUUGCAAUAUAAAACAAAAUUAACCUCAAACGUAACGAUGCAUUUCAAAAUCUCCCAAAUUUUCAAUUCUUCCACCAAAACAUAACAUUAGUUCUUUAGUCUUUGCAAUUAAUCACAUUUUACAAAAGAAAUGUAUGUCUAAAUAAAUUAGUUAAAGUGACUAAGAUAGGUAGAGAAAUACUAAAUAUAGUAACUUUAGGCCAUUUUGAGAUACAUGCCAAAAUUGGUAUUAAAAAACUAGCUUUUGAAGUUUUAACCAUUUAAAGAAAUUAUUUUAGCUAUAAAUAACUUUUUCCUUUCUUCUUCAUAUUUCUUCUAAUUUAAGUUUCUCUAAGUCAAUCUUUCACAAAUUUUCCUUUUUCAAAUCAUUUAGAAAAAAUUUCUUUAAAAUUAUAAUUUUUCAUGUUUUUUCUUCCAACGUUCAAGAUUUAAUCAAUGAUUUCAUAAAAUUUUCUAAUCAAUCUUUUUCGAUAAGAUAUAUCAUUUUCCUUAAACAAAAUUCAACAAUAGAAUCUAUAAAAUUUGGAAGUUUAAUUUUCUAAAAUUCUCAAAAGGAAGAAUCACAUUUUUAGGAUUAUGAAAUUUGAUGCUAAGAAAAAAUUAUUUUAACUAAUGUUAAUUUUCUUUAAUAGAGUUUGGUUGAUGGAAUAGUUUCCACUUAUUUUAUAAGAUUAUUGCUUGAAAUAAUGAAGUAACGAGAGUAAAAAACACAUUGUUUCUACGAUUUGAAAUUUAAAAAAACAUUGUUUCCAAGAUUUGAAAUUUGAAAACUGUUGUUGUGGGUUCUAACAGUUUUCUCAGACCAUUUUUUUAAAAAAAUGUUUACUUAAUCUUAGUGUCCAACCACACCCUAAAAAAUAUUUGUGUUUUGUAAUGAAGAUUGUCCCCACGAGACAACGUUGAGUGACUGACAUCUUCAAAAUGUUUUAAUUUUAAAUAAAUUUAAAAAAGAAGACGUUUUGAACACCUUGUUUGAAAUAUUAGAGUAAUAAGGAUAAAAUAAGGUAUUGUUUUUUUAAAAAAAUUAAACAAUAUUUUCAAUUCAAGAUUUGAAAUUUGGUAAUCAUUUUUUCAAAAGUUAUGUAGGGUUCUAAACGUUUUUGCAAACCAUUUUUUUUAUCAUUUUAUUUAAAACUUGUUUUCUUUAUUUCAAUGUGUAAUCAACCCUGAAAAACUGACAAACAUUUUGAAGAUAUCGAUCACUCCAUAGUGUGUCGAGCACGUGAUGACAAUCUUCAUGACAAAGCACAAAUGGGUAUUCUCAAGAACCCUAAAAAAUUGACAAACAUUUUGAAGAUGUGUGUCGAGCAGUUGAUGACAAUCUUCAUGACAAAACACAAAUGGGUAUUCUCAAGAACUCGAAAGAACUUACUAGAAAUUAUCCAAAAGCUUGUGGAAAUUGGUCACCUUUGCUAAACAGCACACUAACGAGUAUCCCUCGUCCAAAAGUCAAGGUCGUCACCAAAAGUUUGCCUAACAACGUCUAAAUUUCAUUCCUAAUAGACUGGACAGCAGCUAACUCCUUCAAAAUACUCAGAUAUAUCUAACAACUAAAUAUGAUGGUAUUGACUAAUUUGGGUUAAAAGCUAAUAGGGGUAUUUGAAAACUCCAAGAAAUCCAUAUAUAGAUACUCACCAAAAUUCAAAAUUUACCUACAACAGUUCCAACGACGUAGAUCAGGCUUCACCAGCGACUAAUUUCAGCACAAGAGAGAGAUCCGAUGUUGGGACUCAACUAAUGUGGCAACCCAAAAUUUGGCGUGUUGAGCUGAGCGGUGUAUAGGCGACGAGCGUCAUUGGCUGGUCGACGUACGUCUGGUGAUUGGUGCGAUGAGAGAGUGAGAAUGGAGUGUGAAGGAGAGAUCAAGUAUUUCAGAUCUGGGGCGGGGCAGAAAAGACUUGAACGGCGAGGUGAGCUAGAUGAUGAGAAGGAACAAAAGCCGGCGGCAGAAUACUGGUGCGUGGUUGUUCGGUGGAAAGGAAAGAAUGCAUCGAAAGGGGGGUCCGUCGGCGAGAUACCAAGAAGAUCUCUUAAAUUACCUGUGUUUAAGAACAUAUUGCCCCUCCCACUCCCUUCAUUUCUUAUAUCUUUUGAUCCUCACCGCUUCAUCUUUUCCUAACAACUCAUCAACAAUUUGCAUUUCAUAAAACUAAUCCCUUAUCACCUCUCUUUACCACAAUUAUGAUAAAAUUUAUUAAUAAUAUUUUACCAAUAAAAAUUUUUGUUAAUUUAUUUUUAUAAAUACCAAACUUACC